rnacentral:rRNA from 1 species
AGUGAACGCUGGCGGUAGGCCUAACACAUGCAAGUCGAACGGCAGCGCAGUAAGAGCUUGCUCUUACGGGUGGCGAGUGGCGGACGGGUGAGGAAUACAUCGGAAUCUACUUUUUCGUGGGGGGUAACGUAGGGAAACUUACGCUGAUACCGCAUACGACCUACGGGUGAAAGCAGGGGAUCUUCGGACCAUGCGCGAUUGAAUGAGCCGAUGUCGGAUUAGCUAGUUGGCGGGGUAAAGGCCCACCAAGCCGACGAUCCGUAGCUGGUCUGAGAGGAUGACCAGCCACACUGGAACUGAGACACGGUCCAGACUCCUACGGGAGGCAGCAGUGGGGAAUAUUGGACAAAGGGCGCAAGCCUGAUCCAGCCAUACCGCGUGGGUGAAGAAGGCCUUCGGGUUGUAAAGCCCUUUUGUUGGGAAAGAAAAGCAGCAGGUUAAUACCCCGCUGUUCUGACGGUACCCAAAGAAUAAGCACCGGCUAACUUCGUG